AAGAUAGUCGGUUUGUGCGAUCGUGUACUUCGUGGUCCAAUCCGUCUUCAUUUCUGCCUCCAGAUGAGGACUAUGGGAGAGAAAAGGAAACAACCAAGAAGAUACGUGCUCCACCUCGCGAAAUCAAGCACAAGAAAUCUAAGAAUUCGCAGGAAGAGAGCGAGGAUUCCGAAGAAAAACUCUCCAAAUCCAAAAAUGAUUCUGCAGAUGACUUCGGUAGCGAUGAAGACAACGACUUUGGAGAGGAAGAGGGAGACGAAGAUGGAGGAAGUGACUAUGAUGAUAAAAAGGCCAAGAAGGGAAAGAAAGGAAAGGUGGAGAAGCCAGGCAAAAAGUCCCUGAAGAGGAAACGAGGUGGAGGUGAGUCGCGGAUCGACAAAAAAUGGCACUUUCCCUUGAACUCUAAUGCAUUAACCAUGAAGCACCAGAUGUGAAACCAUCAGCAUUAAGUCUAGUCUUAUUUUGGCCAAGAUCUGCCCAUUAAGACUGAAUAAGAUCAUGUGAUCCAUAUAUGAAACAACCACGGUUUAGGAGUGCAAGAUGUGAAAAUAGAUGCAAAUUAAAUGAAGCAUAAAUGAAAAUAUGGGUGCAUGAUGUUCUCUGCAGAUGAUAGUGAUGAUGAUAAAGAGGUGAGCAGGAAACCGAGGCAGGUGAGGCAGGCUGCGUCAAAGGCCGUGUCCAAACAGAGAGAAAUCCUUCUGGGAGACGGCGGCAGUGAGGAUGAGGACAAAGAUGAGGAAAAACAACCAUACCUGGACCGUAAGUGUGCUGCUUUUUAACUGCACUGCUAAAUAUUUUUGGCACUUUGAUUAAGCGU
rnacentral:lncRNA from 1 species